rnacentral:rRNA from 1 species
GAUGGGCAUGCGUCCUAUUAGUUAGUUGGCGGGGUAACAGCCCACCAAGACGAUGAUAGGUAGGGGUUCUGAGAGGAAGGUCCCCCACAUUGGAACUGAGACACGGUCCAAACUCCUACGGGAGGCAGCAGUGAGGAAUAUUGGUCAAUGGACGAGAGUCUGAACCAGCCAAGUCGCGUGAGGGAAGACUGCCCUAUGGGUUGUAAACCUCUUUUAUAAGGGAAGAAUAAGUUCUACGUGUAGAAUGAUGCCUGUACCUUAUGAAUAAGCAUCGGCUAACUCCGUGCCAGCAGCCGCGGUAAUACGGAGGAUGCGAGCGUUAUCCGGAUUUAUUGGGUUUAAAGGGUGCGUAGGCGGUUUAUUAAGUUAGUGGUUAAAUAUUUGAGCUAAACUCAAUUGUGCCAUUAAUACUGGUAAACUGGAGUACAGACGAGGUAGGCGGAAUAAGUUAAGUAGCGGUGAAAUGCAUAGAUAUAACUUAGAACUCCGAUAGCGAAGGCAGCUUACCAGACUGUAACUGACGCUGAUGCACGAGAGCGUGGGUAGCGAACAGGAUUAGAUACCCUGGUAGUCCACGCCGUAAACGAUG